GGGUCAAAGUGGUGAACCCGUUAACUAAUGUAUAUAUUAGAAAAUUCUGUUCUCAUUCACCGUAUCCGCCGGCCACACGAGUGGUCUCGCGGACGUCUGCUCGUCGAUCUACCGGCGGCCGCGCUGAUGCCUCUCCCUGACUGGCGGCCGCGUAGAUGCCUCCUCCUACUUGUGUCUGUGCAGGCGCAUCCUCUCCAACUGACGAUGGUUCCGUGUUUUGGAGUUGGCAUCGCAUAGGGGCACGGUGUGCCCUCACCUACAUCGGCAGGCGGCGGCCCUUGGUCGGAGUUCUCCAGCUCUGUGUGCGGGUGCAGGUCGAAGCUCCGCGAUGCAGAUCUAGAUGCAGCUUCUUUCACUAGUCAUGGGAGGCGACUGAUGGGCUGUUGGCCAGUACAGGUAGUAAAUCGCAUCUCGGUGAGCCACGUCUGCAUCGCUGAUGUUGUUCGACAUUCUGCGUCUAUGCGACAACCACGAAGCAUUCAGAAUUGAGUGGAUCGGUGACCAAACUGAGAGAUAAAUGUUAGUACAUACUUCUAUAAUAAUGUAUGAACUGAUACUCCAGAAAAAGGUAUCUACAUAUACUCGUUUAUCAAAAAGUAUGUACCUAUACUUAGGAAAGGUAUCUGUAUAUACUUGUUUUUCAAAAAGUAUGUAGCUGUACUUAGCGUACUUCCGUGAUAUUACAUUAUGAGAGAUAAAUACUAAUAAUAUAAUCAUGUGUCAGAUAAGUAUAUAAACAUACUCCCCAAUCUGUAUACUUUCCUACGAACGAGUAUAUUCUCAUACAUAUAUAUAUAUAUAUACUCUGUUCUCCAAACGAGCAUCGGUUGAUCCCCGUUAAAUAUGUAUGGGUUCAUUCUCUCCUUGGAUAUACUCAUUAAUUAAAAAACAACUAUCUAAUCAUACCCUUUCUUAAAUAAUGCGUACGUACACAUAUAUACUCUAACAAGUAUGCAUUCGUACUGGCUGUUUUCACAUGGAUGCAUAUAUGACAGUAAAAAAAACUGUAGGAAAAAGAACAAGUAUACAAAAUCGGCGCCGGCGGCCAGUCACAAAUCAUGCAGUGUAUAGCGACAUCAACUCAACACAUGCAGACGUACGUGCUAUAUGCAUGUAUAUGGGCAUACUCACAACGCACGUAUGUUAUUAACGCCUCAAUUUUUUGAAUUCCUAUAAAUACGCCCGCAUAGUAGGUGUUAUAAUUGGAUUGUAUUCAAACCCGUUAGCUCCACUAACACGGGCCCGUUAGCUAGGUCCGCGCGGGGCUGCCUCCUUCGCGCGUGUAGACUCUAGGUGCGUGUAGAUACUCGUACGUGUAAAAAUCACUCACCCUAUAUAUAUAUAU